GAUGAAGAACGCAGCGAACUGCGAUAAGUAAUGUGAAUUGCAGAAUUCAGUGAAUCAUCGAGUCUUUGAACGCACAUUGCGCCCCCUGGCAUUCCGGGGGGCAUGCCUGUCCGAGCGUCAUUGCUGCCCUUCAAGCCCGGCUUGUGUGUUGGGUCGUCGUCCCCCCCGGGGGACGGGCCCGAAAGGCAGCGGCGGCACCGCGUCCGGUCCUCGAGCGUAUGGGGCUUUGUCACCCGCUCGAUUAGGGCCGGCCGGGCGCCAGCCGGCGUCUCCAACCUUCUAUUUUACCAGGUUGACCUCGGAUCAGGUAGGGAUACCCGCUGAACUUAAGCAUAUCAAUAAGCGGAGGA
rnacentral:misc_RNA from 1 species